AAGAACCCUCUAAAAUUUUUAAUGUACUGAUACCAAGCUCAUUGCAAUGAUUCGAAUUGUUGGCUGUUUGACGCCCAUUGCGGUGAAUCGUUUGCGUAACUCGAGACCAGUGAAGAGGAAUUUAAAGCUAACCCAGAAAGUAUAUGCCACAUGGAAAUAUACUUUCAGGAACAUUGCUGUCAAGGACAAUCGUCAAAUAGACGAGUCAUGUAUCGUAGAUGUUAAUUAAACUGGUGGAAUCGUCAAUGUAUUGGGUAUAGAUAUGUAUAGGUGCGCCGCUUGCAGUGUAUUUUUGUGCUUUUGAUUACUUUUACAUUUCUUAAACUUAUUCUAAAUCAA